CGUAUUAUCCCCGUCCUCGCUCGUCCCCUUCCGAAACCCUACCGCAAGCGACGGCGGCGAGCGAGCAAAGCGGCAGCGAGCAGCGAGCGGAGCGGCGGCUAGAACUGCAGGAGGGGCGGGAGAGGCGGAGAACCUUGCCGGCGCACACAAGGAUGGAUCCCGCCUAGCGCUCCACAUCAGAUGGCCACCGUUCUUGGUAUCUGACCGGCGACGCCACCUCCCACCGGUCUUGUACUCGAGUCUGCAUCCUCUCAGAAUUGCAUUGGUGCUAUCGAUGGGUCCCAUGUGCCAGUUACAAGAACACCUAGCCGUGCUUCUCCAUGGAGAAAUAGAAAAGGCACCCUCAGCCAGAAUGUAAUGUUCACAUGUGACUUUGACCUCAAUGUAACCUACAUUUCUCAGCUCCGUCGAGGACAAUGAUGGCAGUGCACUAGCUUGGCUUCGCAGCGAGAUGUCCAAGUUACCAUGAGAUCUGAUGAUGCAUGUUCUACAGGCUGCUUCAGGCUAUAAUUUGACUUCAGAUCUGCUGAUGCCUGUUAUACUGAUCGGCUUCUAUGAGUAAUUUUGUAAUUUAAGAUUCAGGCAGCUUCAGAGUUUGUUAGUGUGUGACUUGUCAAUUUUAAUGUAUGAUGAACAUCAAGUAUGUUGCCAUGUCGAGAGUUCAAGUCCAGAGUGGCCUAUGAUUUAUUUGAAGACUGUUUAUCACUUGAUCUAGCUGAUGUACUCCUUCAGGCCGUACUAGUGUUAAUUUUAACAUAUACUGAAACUCAAGUAUGUCUAAGUUUA